rfam:Triticum aestivum genome assembly, contig: Triticum_aestivum_CS42_TGACv1_scaffold_271783_3DS
UCUAUGGUAGAACCCAUCGGGGAGGCCUUCGGGGAGUUGGAAAUAAACAUAGAUCCAGAGAUUCUCAAAUAGGUCAACCUUUUAAACCGCCUGCUAAGUCCAUGAGCAGGCAAGAGACAACCUGGCGAACUUAAACAUCUUAGUAGCCAGAGGAAAAAAAGCAAAUCGAUUUCCGCAGCAGCGGCGAGCGAAUGGGAGCAGCCUAAACUGUGAGAACGGGGUUGUGGGAGAGCAAUACAAGGGUUGUGCUGCUAGGCUAAGCGGUUGAGCAACACAGCCUUUCCUAAUGCAACUCAUAUUUCCUAUUGCUACUCCUCACCUCUUCACUUUUAUACUACUUUCCUAUGAUAAGCUAAGU